UUGGUGUUUGGUGAGCUCGGUGGGCUCGCAGUUUGCACGUGAAAAAACUGUUCUUCGCACGCGUGCCAUUUCGCAGAAUGUGUUGUAUGAGAUGAAUUGCGAUGCAGCGGUGGGAUAUUUUCCCGGUAAGUGCUAUAGCGGAACCCAGAGUAGGAGCAGUUUUCUCACAGAACCGAAAAAAUCAACAUGGCAUCGAAAGCCAGCGCUGCCGUGUCCUCGUUGCGCGCUGGAGAGAAGAAGAACCUGCCAUUGCGGACCAAAUUUCGUGUUACAACGUUGACGACGACGAAUACGUUGGCGGAAUUAACUGGGGCGAGCCGUAACACUCGAGCAAGCAGUAAGUGCUCGAAAAGAAGAGGACACAAGUUGCAGUGUAUACCGCGACUUUUCGUUGGUGUGUGCACGUGUGUGUAUAUUGACAUCAACGAAGGAACCUCUCUGACACUAUUCGUGAGAACAGGACGAGGCGCACAGCACAGCAGCUUGCCAAAUCUGUUGUUUUCUUGGCUGGACGUGCGGCAUGUGUGCAGAAAAAGGAAAACCAGGUGCUGAAGUGUCAACUGGACACCUCGCAGAACA